AGACAUUUCACUUUAUUUAAAAGAAGCCAAUAUACAGGAUAUAAAGGGCACAAUAUUUACAACAGUAUGGUAAACAGGUUAGUUUUCUGGUAGGAUCAGUAGUCUUUCCGUGAGUACAAACCCCCCCCAGUGAUGUUAGACCCAGCUGGCAGACAAAGAGCAACAGUGGGAUAGGGUAGGACUAAAAAACAGGUAGAUGGUAAAAUGUCCACAAGGGGUCUUGGCAUGGGGCUGUGCCUCAUUUCCUUGAGAGUGUGGGAGGGAGAGAGAAUGAUGAGGGAGUCACCCAAAACUAUUACAAAGGCUACCCUGAGACUGGAAAUCUCCUACUCCUGGAAAAUUCCCUCCCAGAGAGUCUGACUUUCCUCAUAUCCCCCAGCCACCUCCAGAUUCCCAACUCUAGGACAGUGCCUUUCUAGAGCCAAGCUCAGUCUCCCAAGAAGAGGACCCAGGCCUGGGGAAACCCCUGGCACUCUGGUCCAUCAUCCAGGAGCAGAGGAUUGCAGCUCCUCCCUUGACCUGGAGCAGGCACAGCCAGGAGUGGGCUCUGGGCACCUUCCUGCCUCUCCCAUCCCAGCUGCCUGACAGCCUGGGACCUGAGAAGGCCCAGGACCAAAGGAGGUCAUGUGCUCCCCAAGCUCGACAGCCCUACACACAGCCCCUCCCACAGCCCUACAGCCAACCACACUGUUGCUUCUGAACCCUCUCUCAACACAGUUGAGUCAGAAAUGGGUCUUGGCAGAGCAGAGCUGGGACGAGUGAUCAGAGGCUACCCUCUGAAACACAGAGUACUGGGAAGAGCAUGCCCCUCCCUAGUACACCCUCAACUGAAUUCUGAAUUCCUUGCAGCCCACCUGCCCCCAAAAGUGCCUCCCUACAAGACCUCCAAGGACCUGAGGGGUCACGGAAGAAGGAAAUGGGGUGAAGUGGGACCUAUCCUCUGCUGAAGCCACCCACAGGUGUGAAUGAUCAGAGUAAGGACGGGAAGGCAAGACUGGGUGAGGGGUACCAGUAUAUUAAAUCCAGCAGCAACAUGCACAAUAUCUUGUCCACAGAAAAAUGCUGGCUACCACAACUGCCUACCUGAGAUUAAAAACCCUUUCCUUUCAUAAAAAUAGAUGAGAGUCUCUUGCUUUAUAAAUAGAUUACAUUUAGCUUAAAUUACACCUUAUACGAUCCCCUACCUACCCCCUCUUCUCACACCCCAAGCCAAAGUGGGUAGAUGCUCCAUAAGUCAUCUGAGCUGGGCCCCAGAGCUGAGUCCAUGAUGGAUGGAUCCUCCAGAGCCCUCGAGACGUAUUGCCAUGAGACAGCAAAAGGUGUUUGCUUGCCAGUAAUAUUAAUCCCUGUUCAGUCUCAGAAGAGUGCGCAUGUGCGUAUGUGUGUGCAUAUGAAUAUGUAUAUUUCACAACCAAACAGGGAGCCCAAGGAUGCUAUUUCCCCUGCUGCUCCCCAAUCCUUAGUGUGUAUAAAUCCCCCAAAACUAGGAGAGAGAGAGAGAGAGAGAGAGGAGAGAGAGAGCGCACGCACAGCACAGGAGAACCCAUCUGAGAACAACUCUAAAAUACCAAUGUCAAUAUGACACUGGGCUUAAAAAUAGAAAAACCAAAUAUUUAAGUAUUUACAGCUUUACAAAGGAUGGAACCAGUUCAUCCCAGCAGGGCCUGGUGCUGCCCCAGCAAGCAGUGGGGUCUUUCUUGGCAAGCUGUGGGGUCACGGUGAAGAAACAAGCAGGACCCACUGGCAACUAACGUAAAAAUGAGUUUAGGGGCAUGGGAGGUAGGCAAGCCCAGACCCAAGAACCAGCCCUGGAGGCAGGCCCACCACGCUCUGCCCUUCCUCCCCUCAUCCGACUGACCUCCCCUGCACUUCUCAGGGGAAAACAGAUAUGGAAAGCCAGUAGGAAGGGAGUCUUAGGCCAGUGUCUCUCUCUGGCACCUGCUGUUCUCAUGUUUCCUAGAUAAAUUUGGAGCAACCUAAGGACAAAUGAUCUACGUAUACAAGGGAGAAAACAAAACACCACCGGACACCCAUCACCUUGGUAACUUUUGUUACCCCAAAUACUAAUCCCAUUGCCUUACUGUCUUAACUCUAAAGAUAUGUUUGUCACCCUCCCAUCACCCUGAGGAACCCAGAACUGGCAUCCACUCUGCCCACCCAACCCCCAAACCACCCCUGGCUGCCUCUCUCAGCCCUGGGCAGUGAGACCCACAAGGCCACAUCUUCUGCCCUUGUGGAAACGGAAUAUCUUUUCAGCAGCUGAGGUCCAAGCCCAGUUGGCUCUGAUAACCUUUGGUUAAAAUAAAAAUAAGUAACAAUAACAACAUCAAUCAUAAUAAUCAGGUAUGUUUGAACCCUGUAACCUGUAGAACAAUGGUUGGUGAGGAAGAGGGAAAGGGGCUCUCUUCCAAAACCACUGUCCCUUCAAGUACCUGCCAAAAGGGACAGUUUGAGUAAUAAGAGAUGAUGAGGAUGGCCAGGUGUAGUGGCGCAUACCUGUAAUCCCAGCACUCUGGGAGGCUGAGCCAGGAGGAUUGCAAGUUCAAGCCCAGCCUGGACAAUUUAGCAACUUAGCAAGACCCUGUCUCAAAGUAAAAUUUUAAGGAAAGGGCUAGGGAUGUAGCUGAAUACAAAGGCCCUGGGUUCAAUCCCCAGUACUGAAAAAGAAAAAAAUGAUGAUGAGGACAGAAGUGUCAAAGCCAGAGUGCUCAGGGACUGAUGGGGUAUCUUCCCAACAGAACAAAACAAAACAAGGGGAAAAACUCAUGAGAAAGGCCACCGAGUUCUGAUAAAUUACAUCACACAGUCACUAACACAUUCUCGUUCUCUCUAAAUACAUAUACAUGAAUAUUAUGUACAAUGGUUUUAAGAUGCAAAACAGGGAGAGCAGGAGAGAGAGAAGGCCCUUACAGAUGGCUGGCCCCUGCACAGGGAAGUCAGGGGACCACCAAGCCCUCCAGCCCAGCACCCGCCUGGAUCUCCACACUGGUCCCCGGACACAUUUUGCUCUUUCAACCUCCAGAGGGAGCUCUUCAGCCAACAAAACCCCAAAUGGGCCAUCACCACCCCCACCCCGCACUACAGUGGGCCCCAAAAGGGAGAGGAGAGGAGGGGAAAAAAGCAAAGCCUGCAUGGUGGCCUGGUCCCCAGCUCAGUUUUGGUGGGUGUUCUCAACAUGGGACCCUUCAACUCUUGGGGAGAUACUGGCGCAGAUUAACUCCCCAAGUGGAUCACAGAAAGAGGCUUGCAUGUGUCCCUGAGAGGAAUAAGGACAGUCCUCUCUCAAGCUCCCAUGCAAGCCGUCUCCAAGCCACCAGCGGCCACCAGCUCCCUCCCCUCCCCUUGCCAAUCUGCUCUGCUGUCAGUACCGACAGCAGGUGACCAUGGGACAGUGGAGAACCAGGAUGGCGACAGGCUGGUGCUCCCCAAGCUCCCCGGGAAAUAAGUGGUACCAGGCUUGGCCUCUUCAGACUUUCUCACAGAGAAAUUACAGCUCUAUAACCCCUUAUUGCUGGCUGGGGAGGGAGGGGAGAACAUCAAGUCAUCAGGACAAUAAAAGAACCCCACCCUCACCCCAACCCCAGAGGUUCCAAAGAAAGCAAGCAGUCAGGUGGGCUGGCCCUUGCAGGAGUGAAGCCCACACCAUCAACCUUAACCCCUUAACCAGCCCCCUCCCCAGCCAGUGCUCACCCUGGGAGGCUGCAAGAGAGUGAUCACCACCUUAACCUCCGCCUCCCAGCCCCAGGGGAAACCAGGAGUCUGGGACAGGGCCUGCCUUCCAAUGAUAUAAGGCAAGCUGCUUUUUGUUUUUUUGUUUUUGUUUUUGUUUUUGCAUAGUAGUUAAACACAGUGAGGCUCCACCUACUACUCCCCCAAGGUGCCUUGUCCCUCCACUUUGCCACUAAAUCCAAAAAACAAAAGAAAAAUUGGUCUUCCCUCCCUUCCUCCUACUUUUCUCUCUUUCCAAGAGUGAGAAAGCUCGGGAGGUCCCCACCCAGGCCUGGAGGUAAUGGCUGGCUCCCUCCUGGGGAGGGCAGAUCACCCCAAGCACAGUGUCAGGCAGCGCCAGCGCUAGCAGAAGGGAGGGCAAAGCUCAUGGCCAAUUAGGAGCAGGUGGGAGGGUAGAAAACUACUUGAUGCCAUGCCCAGGUCCCGCCCUCGCCUUGAGUUUCAUAUAAAAACACCUGCUAGGAAUAAUUCUUUGGAGCUCAAAGUGGCUCAGCUUAAGGGAGAAGGCACAGUUAACACUGCAUGGUCCAGACAGAAGUCUGCAUUUGUAACGUGGAGAACAAUAGAAAUUGACAGCACCAUUCCUUGGGUGGGUAGGCAGGUGGAUGGAGAAGGGGCACUGGUCAGUUGUAGGGUGGUGUCACGGAAAGAAGGAAGGAAGCAGCGGUCCCUCGGGGCCUCCAGAGAAGGGAGGGCAGAGGAAGUCUAUGAGCGAGGACUGGCGCCCACUUUGAGGAGCCUUCCUGGCCUGUGGAGAGAGGGGACCAGGGCCCCAUCCCCAAGACCACCAGGCACGCAGGGCCUCCAUCAUCAGCUGACCAUGGGCUCCACAUCUGCUUCGCGCUCCAACUCAUCCUGGAUCUCAUCUGUACUUCCUGAGUCACUGCUGGCCACAGAGCUGGGUGACGGUGAA
rnacentral:lncRNA from 1 species